rnacentral:rRNA from 1 species
GCCGCUCAGAACUCAAGGAAUUGACGGGGCCGCACAAGCGGUGGAACAUGUGGUUUAAUUCGAUGCAACGCGAAGAACCUUACCUGGUCUUGACAUCCCGGAGACCCUUAGGAAACUAGGGGGUGCUUCCAUCUGGAAGAAUCUGGAGACAGGUGCUGCAUGGCUGUCGUCAGCUCGUGUCGUGAGAUGUUGGGUUAAGUCCCGCAACGAGCGCAACCCUUGCCUUUAGUUGCCAGCAGUUCGGCUGGGCACUCUAAAGGGACUGCCGGUGUUAAACCGGAGGAAGGUGGGGAUGACGUCAAGUCCUCAUGGCCUUUAUGACCAGGGCUACACACGUACUACAAUGGCCGAUACAAAGGGCAGCGACACUGCGAGGUGAAGCCAAUCCCGUAAAAUCGGUCUCAGUCCGGAUUGGAGUCUGCAACUCGACUCCAUGAAGUUGGAAUCGCUAGUAAUCGUGGAUCAGCAUGCCACGGUGAAUACGUUCCCGGGCCUU